rnacentral:rRNA from 1 species
GCCGCGGUAAUACGAAGGGGGCUAGCGUUGUCCGGAAUUACUGGGCGUAAAGUGUGCGCAGGCGGCGUCGCAAGUCGAGUGUGAAAGCCCCGGGCUUAACUUGGGAAUUGCGCUCGAAACUACGAUGCUGGAGUAUGGCAGAGGAAGGUGGAAUUCCACGUGUAGCGGUGAAAUGCGUAGAGAUGUGGAGGAACACCGAUGGCGAAGGCAGCCUUCUGGGCCAAUACUGACGCUCAUGCACGAAAGCGUGGGGAGC